GUGGAGUUAGAGAGAGAGAGAGAGAGGAUGUACGAUGUACUUCAUUCAUUGAACAGUGACAUUCUAGGGAAUCCUAUGUGAUAGAAAGUAGAAACUUUAAAAAGGGCAUGAUAAAGAUAAACGUAUGGACCUAGACGAUAAAGCACAGAGGGCAUUCCAAGGGAGAAGAUUCUUUAGGGUAAUGCCAAAUUCCAUCGAGCUUUGUUCCAUGAACUGUCCCUUCCCCACUGCCCCCCUUACUUUGGCGGGUAUUAGCAGUUUGGAAUUUUGGAUUCUAAUGGGUUUCCCGCCAAGGUGCCAACCAUUAUGCUUUGCUAAUAGGAUAAUGC
rnacentral:lncRNA from 1 species